rnacentral:tRNA from 15 species
UGGGGAUUCGCCAAGUUGGUUAAGGCACCGGAUUUUGAUUCCGGCAUUCGUAGGUUCGAAUCCUACAUCCCCAGCCA